GAUGAACGCUAGCUACAGGCUUAACACAUGCAAGUCGAGGGGUAACGAGAGGAAAGCUUGCUUUCCUUGUCGACGACCGGCGCACGGGUGAGUAACGCGUAUCCAACCUGCCCCCAACUAGGGAAUAACCUUGCGAAAGUAAGACUAAUACCCUAUAAUUUCCUCAGAUGCCAUCUGACGAGGAAUAAAGAUUUAUCGGUUGUGGAUGGGGAUGCGUCUGAUUAGCUUGUUGGCGGGGUAACGGCCCACCAAGGCAACGAUCAGUAGGGGUUCUGAGAGGAAGGUCCCCCACAUUGGAACUGAGACACGGUCCAAACUCCUACGGGAGGCAGCAGUGAGGAAUAUUGGUCAAUGGGCGGAAGCCUGAACCAGCCAAGUAGCGUGCAGGAUGACGGCCCUAUGGGUUGUAAACUGCUUUUAUACAGGAAUAAAGUUAGCCACGUGUGGUUAUUUGUAGGUACUGUAUGAAUAAGGACCGGCUAAUUCAUGCCAGCAGCCGCCGUAA
rnacentral:rRNA from 1 species